AUUUAAGUAGCUUAAUUAAAGUAAUGUAUUGAAGCUACAUUGAUAGUUUUUACUCUUAAAUA
rnacentral:tRNA from 1 species